CACUCGCGGGUGAGUCCUAUACGGUCAGCUCCUUGUGAUCCCCCCAGGGCUUGAUCGCAGCAAGGGUAGCAGGUUGUAGCGACGCGAUAUAGGUUGCUCACCCCAAC
rfam:Porphyromonas endodontalis ATCC 35406 contig00109, whole genome shotgun sequence.